rnacentral:rRNA from 1 species
UACGGAGGGUGCAAGCGUUAUCCGGAUUCACUGGGUUUAAAGGGUGCGUAGGCGGGCAGAUAAGUCAGUGGUGCAAUCUCCGAGCUUAACUCGGAAACUGCCGUUGAUACUAUUUGUCUUGAAUAUUGUGGAGGUCAGCGGAAUAUGUCAUGUAGCGGUGAAAUGCUUAGAUAUGACAUAGAACACCAAUUGCGAAGGCAGCUGGCUACGCAUAUAUUGACACUGAGGCACGAAAGCGUGGGGAUCAAACAGG